UUUAGGAAUCAAACCUUGAUAAUUCAGUCUUCAGUAUAAAUAUAAACACCAUGUAUAAAGAAAUAACUAACUGUGGUAUAAUUUCAUAUAAAUUGAAAGAAUAUAGUGGACCAUGCCCUUUCCCAGCUUCCAUAGCUUAAGACCCAGGUGUCGGAUGUGAAUUCUUAAAAAUGUGCCUUUUGUUCUUCUGAAAUAAGUUACUCUGAAUGCUUUCCAUGAUAUUGAUUGACUGCACAUUUAUUUACAACCAGGAGGACAAGUAUUUAAUAAAUUAUCAAAAAAUCAGCAUGUGGCGUGUACCUCGCAACGUUUGUAUUUUCAUUUUUCUUUCAGGUAGUGCUACUGUUAAGGAAUCCAGGCCCAGUAAUGCCAGAAUUGCAAACAAUCAAUGGAUUUCUUGUGCACUCUUGUUUCUGAAAUAAGUUCCAUUGAAAGGCCAGAUAUUGGAGGUACUUUUAAUUCAAGGGCAAACUAUGAAUGCCAGUGUUCAUUACCUUCAACACAAUGACGUGUUUACAAUAGGGCAAAGAAAAUUCAAAUGGAAAUACCCACACAAGAAAGAUACUGAAAAUGUUGAACAUACUGGAGAGGUUAUGCAUGUUUCAGAUGAAAAUGAUAAAGUUGAAAAAACACCACCAAAUGAAGUCCAAGAGUUGGUCAGUGACAAAGAAUUGGCAACAUGUGAUGAAAUUGACUUUGUAAAUGCUGUAAAUACAAUGGGACUAAGUAAUUAUUAUACAGAUACUGAAGAUGUUGAACAUACUGGAGAGAGCAUGGGUUUUUUCCAAAGAAAAUAAUAGUGGUGAGCCAACAGCACCAAAUGAAGUCCAAGAGUCGGUCAGUGACAAAGAAGGGACAACAUGUGAUGAAACUGACCCUGUAGAAACUGUAAAUACAAUGGGACUAAGUAAUUAUUAUACAGAUACUGAAGAUGUUGAACAUACUGGAGAGAGCAUGGAUGUUUCAGAUGAAAAUGAUAAAGUGAAGAAACGCCACCAAAUGAAGUCUGAGAGUUGGUCAGUGACAAUGGAGAAGGGUCAGAAUUUAACUCAUUUGACAGACCAUACAGUUGGGUGAAUUCUACAGAAAGGAUGAC